rnacentral:misc_RNA from 1 species
UUUUCUCCAAUCCCAGUCGACCCACAGCCACUCAUAGACGCACGCUAUGGAGGACGCAUGUCUAUUCCAGCCGCAGAUCAACCCACGCAGUAGGCGCCUUGCCCGGCAUGCGCCGACGCUCCGCGAGCGCCAGGAACAAGAUGCGCAGCGGCGGUCUGCUGGUCGUGAGGGCCACCACGGGCAGCCGCUGCGAGGGGCACCAACGCCGAGCCCCGGGCCAGAGGCUUUCGCUGCGGACACGGAGAGCGACAUUGUAGAGUCUGUGUGGGGUCUCUGGCGCGGCGUGGCGAUCAGGGAGGCGCGCGAGACCGAAGCUGCCUUGGUGCGCCGCGUGCAUUCCGUGAACAACGACGACCUUCUCCCACAGCGUCGGCCGCGCGUGGUGUACGUAACGGCGGUGCUUGGGAUGCUAAAUGCACUCGGCAUCACCUCACCCCGGCACGAUGCCCUGAUCGCCAAGUUUCUCAAGGCAAUGGCAGUCGAAGGAGGCGCUUCGGAAGCCACCAAGCGCGACGCAACGGUCGACGCGGCGCGGUUCGAGUACGUCUUCUCUACAGUCUGGCGGGCAGCCGUCACACACCGCACGCCGUGGUCUCCUGUCCCAGCGCAAGUAAGCGUGUCGCCGCGUUCGCCACCUGCGGUACAGCAGUGCGGCAACUCCCCCAAUGCAGCAACAAUGCGCCACGCCUACCCUAGGGAAGUCUCACGCCGAGGGGUACCACCGUCACACAUGAAGGCGGCGCCAGCGACAGAGGUGGGCAGCAGCGGUGGCAGUGGCUCAGCCGUGAGCGCAAGGUCAUCGUCCUCACCCUCCGCCGUGUGCAGUAGUAGCAAAGGCGGCGAGGAAGCAGCACACUCGGGCACAGAGAGCGCAUCGCCGCUCACCAGCUGCGGAAGUGGUGACGAAAGGAGAAGUGACGCAGCGGAGAGCGACGCUGACUUUCUGCGCACCAACAUUUACGACGCGUCGCCGAGUAUCCCAGACUCCUCGGAGAAGCCGCAAGCUGGUGCGCGCAGCAAGGAACUGUCGCCGAUGUCCGUGGAGCCGUCGGCGGGGCUCGAUCCCAGUCCGGAGCCGCGCAACCCAGGCGAGCCAGUCAUCACGCCAGCCCGCUCAAGCGUCACACCCCGCACUCAUCAUUGCUCUCCGUUCGCCGCAGCUUCGCGGUUCGGCAGCGCAUCCGUAUCACGCAGUCGUCGCAUGAGUUCCUCCUUGCGCGUAAUACCGAGUGACUCGCAUCUGCUCUCGAGCACCACUAGCAGGGAACUCAAGAGGGCGACGAAGCGCGUGCCUGGCGGGCUGAUGCGCGAGUGCACCUUCAAGCCUGUCAUCAACACCGUCUAUGAGCAGAUGCCUGUUAGCUUCAGCAGCACAGCUAUCGUGCAGAGGCGCAAGUCCGCGUCGACCGCGCGGCCCACCUUCCAGCCGAACACGCAGCAGUUUCACCAGGCGCGCGACAGCCUUGCGUGUUGGACGAGACAACCCGUCAAAGACAGCGGCGACUACCUGGGCGAAGCAGCGGCAAACCCCUUGGCGACUGGCGUUGAGACAGCGGUGCGCCGCAUGAUCGCCGCGCGCCAGCAGCAGCAGCGCUCGCAGUCACCUAGGCCAAGCCUCCAAAAGGGGAGCCACCACUCAGCGCCCGCGCCGCAGUCGGCCGUGCGGGCACCCGUGGCGCACCCGCGCAAGCCGCUGCUCUAUGUUGACGUCGAUCUCCCUCAAGGCCAGCGAGACCGCCUUGCCUUGUACACAGGGGACGACGUACAGGACGUAGCGCAGCGCUUCAGCAUCCUGCAUGGGCUCAGCGAAUCCCUGUGCCAGCGGCUGGAGACAGCGCUGACAGCAGAGCUCUGUGCCCUCUCGGUUGGAAAGGCAGCAUAGAUCAUUAUUUUGUGUAACGUACGCACGUCACCCGUGCAUUACCCGUCUUCACCCAGGCGCGCAAAAAAAAAAGUGGAAAGAAACACAAAAGGAGGAGGACACGUGUGCAUCAGCUGAACCGUUGCAAUCGCCACCCGUCGCGCACGGCGGCCGCCGACGAAUCACCCCAUCCGCCCCUUAGCCCUGACCCCGCGCACCACCGACACCCUCGCACACACACCCAAUAGGGCUCCCCCCUCCCCCCUCUUCGUUGCAG